CGUGGCAAUUGCUAAAGAAUAGUUAAGUAUGAAUAAUUCCUACUUUUUCUACAGUACAACAAGAAAAACAACACUGGUUUAAAAAGGAAGUGGAUACGUUUAAAGUGGACCUGUCAGCCUGAUGGUAACAUUGCCAAUGGGCGUCCGGUGGUCGAGGGACCAGGCAAAGGUGGGUUUUACUUACCUGAAGCUAUCGCUCACAAGUGCCGCCAUUGACUUCCUGCCAGUCCUGUUCUGUUCUUAGCAGUUCAGCUGCCUGGAGCCAAUAUCACUGCUGUACUCUCGCUAAAGUACAGCUUUGUGGUCUAUGGAGGAUCCUCCACAGAUAGAGCUAAUUUCACUGGAGCCAUCACUGAUGAUGACUGGGGGAAAUGUUACAACUUAGCCGACAGCUGGGGCUCCACCCAGUGUCAAGCAGUGUCAGACGCUGGAAGAAGUCCCUACUUUGUCUCAGUAGAUCUUUUGACUGAAUUGCAAUUUCAGUGAAAUUCAGAGUAUUUAUGAAACCUGCAAAGGGACAAUUCUGUUUUAAGUCACAACAGAGAAUAGCGAUAGGGGCUAUAAUAACCAUGAACCACAGGAAAAAAACUCAAUACAACACUCAAAGGGCUGGACACGUGGGACAGUAAACCCCCAACGUUUCGGCACCUGACGUUCUGCCUUUCUCGAGAGACAGCAUGUUAUAGCUGUUUGGUGUUUGUUUGUUGUAAAUUAUAUAUUUUGAUUGUAUAAUAAAAUAAUUGAUUUAUGGUUGCAUAUUGAUGUGAAUCCUUUUGUAUACAGAGUUGUGAUUUGUUUUGCAUGAUUAGUAAUGCCUCUUUAGGAUAGCAUUCUUUUGCUGUUUAUCUAUACAACCUUUACCAAUUCUUGUUUUAAGAUAAAGUUCUGACAUUACAUUGCUCUACUUGAGUCUUAAUAAGCUUAAUGUUAUGGGUUAUUUAACUCAUUAAAUACAAAUAAUAUUCUGUACUGUCAUAAACAAUCAGUACUUUGAAACUCAUAUUAUAACAUUGCAUUGCGGAUCUUUAAAAGGUACUCUAAUCACUAUAACCACUAAAGCACAUUGUAGUGCUAUGCUUUUUAUUGGGGUGCUGUCCUGUUUUCUGAUAAACUUUUGAACAAAAACUGGAGCUCUCUGGCUACCCAAAACACCCAGCACAUCUGCAACUGCAUUCAGCACGCUCAGCCACGCAAAGAUUCAGCACCAUAACCACUCUAAUAAGCCAAAAUUAAUAUGCCAGUAUGUCUUAAUUUCUUUUUAGAUCAAGUUGUCGAUUUAAUAUGUUUGGAUACGUUUUUCAAAUAAUUUAAUAUUCUUGGAUAAACAUUUCAAAUAAUU